UCCAUCGCCAUCAAGAUCUCCUUCCCUGACCAUCUCUUCUGCAUCUUCUUUGCUCAUCCCCUCCAUACCCAGAAGGGCUGAAUUUCUCCUCAGACUCUCUGACGUGAUCAACCCUCUUUGGGUGUCUGCCAAAAGCCGAAAGCCACCGCAUAAUUCAGCUACAAAGGCAUCUACAUCGAGCUUUUCUGCCAUCACCGGUAACAAAUCCUCGUACACGCUGCUUGUUGCCAUUUUAGUGCCAGUUUGAUCCUUCUCCAUUUCUCUUGAAGAAGAAAUGAACCCUCUAGUUCUAUUUGUUAAAUAAUGAGACGUGGACAAAAC
rnacentral:misc_RNA from 1 species